rnacentral:rRNA from 1 species
AUGAAACACUCCUACGGGAGGCAGCAGUGGGGAAUUUUGGACAAUGGGGGCAACCCUGAUCCAGCAAUGCCGCGUGAGUGAAGAAGGCCUUCGGGUUGUAAAGCUCUUUUGUCAGGGAAGAAACGGCGGAGGCUAAUAUCCUCUGCUAAUGACGGUACCUGAAGAAUAAGCACCGGCUAACUACGUGCCAGCAGCCGCGGUAAUACGUAGGGUGCAAGCGUUAAUCGGAAUUACUGGGCGUAAAGCGUGCGCAGGCGGUUGUGCAAGACAGAUGUGAAAUCCCCGGGCUUAACCUGGGAAUUGCAUUUGUGACUGCACGGCUAGAGUGUGUCAGAGGGGGGUAGAAUUCCACGUGUAGCAGUGAAAUGCGUAGAGAUGUGGAGGAAUACCGAUGGCGAAGGCAGCCCCCUGGGAUAACACUGACGCUCAUGCACGAAAGCGUGGGGAGCAAACAGGAUUAGAAACCCUAGUAGUCCGAAGUUC